AUGCAGGAUCACAAAGGAAUAUCAAAUGUAGCACUAGCUGAAUGUCCAUUGAUCCCACUAUUGGUGCCAGAAGUGGACCAGUCAGAAGAGGAAGUAGUGGAUAAAACAAGAAUCCAUGACCACAUCAGCAAUCUUCGGUUCUCUCUAUCACCAACCGCAUUUUUUCAGGUUAAUACUCUUGCUGCAGAAAGAUUGUACACCCUUGCUAGCGAUUGUGCCAAUCUCAAUUCAGACACAUUACUUUUUGACGUAUGCUGUGGGACUGGAACAAUUGGCCUGACAUUAGCACAUCAUGUUGUAAUGGUUGUUGGAAUUGAAAUGAAUGAAUCAGCAGUUUUGGAUGCUCAGAGAAAUGCUCUUAUUAACGGUAUGAAAAAUUGUCAUUUUGUCUGCAGGAAGUUGGGAGACAAAUUAGCCAAUCAUCCAACUUGUUCUAGCGAUGAGAAAAAUGAGGACUUGAAUGAUGGGGUUAGCAAAGAGUUGGAAGGUGGACAUUUGCAAUGCAAUGAGGCUGUUCCUAAACGAAAUAGCGAGGAAGCAUCAUCAUUGGUGAAUGAGGACUCCAUUGAUGCAAAAGCAGCUGACUGUUUAGAGCACACCAAAACACGCGAGGAUGGUUCUUCGAUCUCUAACAAUGACGUGCUUGCAACUAAUGCAUCUCAGUUCAAGAACUUUGUUACUAUUGUAGACCCUCCACGUGUUAGGCUUCAGCCUACUUGUGCUCUUAAUACACUCUUCCCUUCACCAUGCUGA
rnacentral:rRNA from 1 species